rnacentral:lncRNA from 1 species
CCAGCAAAAUAAAGAAAACACAAAAAGAAAUGAAGAACAAGAAUAGAAAACUGGGAGAAGCACAGGAAGGCUGACAGACAUCGUGAAGUGGAUGAGGAUUUUCCCUGGGGCCCCAAAACCUACUCUUCUCCUGGCAGUUUUAAAACCCAGAAGCCUUCCAAGCCCUUUCAUCAUUCAUCGCAUUACCAUAUAUCAAGAGAAGACAAGUCUCCCAAGGAGGGUAAGAAGGGCAAGAGAAGAAAAAGGAGAGAUGCUUGGAAGAUGAUGACAAUGAUAACUUAUUUCUUAUUAAGGAGAGGAAAAAAAAGUCUUAAA